rnacentral:rRNA from 1 species
AUGAACGCUAGCUACAGGCUUAACACAUGCAAGUCGAGGGGAAACGACAUCGAAAGCUUGCUUUUGAUGGGCGUCGACCGGCGCACGGGUGAGUAACGCGUAUCCAACCUGCCCACCACUUGGGGAUAACCUUGCGAAAGUAAGACUAAUACCCAAUGAUAUCUCUAGAAGACAUCUGAAAGAGAUUAAAGAUUUAUCGGUGAUGGAUGGGGAUGCGUCUGAUUAGCUUGUUGGCGGGGUAACGGCCCACCAAGGCAACGAUCAGUAGGGGUUCUGAGAGGAAGGUCCCCCACAUUGGAACUGAGACACGGUCCAAACUCCUACGGGAGGCAGCAGUGAGGAAUAUUGGUCAAUGGGCGAGAGCCUGAACCAGCCAAGUAGCGUGCAGGAUGACGGCCCUAUGGGUUGUAAACUGCUUUUAUAAGGGAAUAAAGUGAGUCUCGUGAGACUUUUUGCAUGUACCUUAUGAAUAAGGACCGGCUAAUUCCGUGCCAGCAGCCGCGGUAAUACGGAAGGUCCGGGCGUUAUCCGGAUUUAUUGGGUUUAAAGGGAGCGUAGGCCGGAGAUUAAGCGUGUUGUGAAAUGUAGACGCUCAACGUCUGCACUGCAGCGCGAACUGGUUUCCUUGAGUACGCACAAAGUGGGCGGAAUUCGUGGUGUAGCGGUGAAAUGCUUAGAUAUCACGAA